AAAUAAGUGUUUUCUGCCUUAUAAUGUUUCAUAAAUGUUAGUUGAACAUCAAUUUAACACACCAAAAUUAGACAACAUUUUAAAUUAUUAGCACAUUCUGCACACGUAGCUAACACAAUUCAAUGAAUAGAUAUAAUGAGUACAUUAGGAUUGAAUAACUCAUUAAUCAUCAACCGGACAAAUGAAUUUGAAUGUUCUUAAUCAUGAAUUUAGGUACUCAAACUACAUAUAUAUAAAUUUGGGCACAUGCAAAUUGUGGUUAAUCGCGUUGAAAUUUGUGAUUAAUAAAGAUCAUUAAAUAAUAAAUAUUAUAAGUUGUAACAUAUCGAGGGUUUGCUAACUAGUAUCCCAGAGGCAGUAGGUAUUUUUCAAAUAUUUAUUAUGCAAAUCUAACACUUCAUCAAUCAUGUGUGUGAACUACGUACCCUAACCAUUUUAAAAUGUGAAUUUAAUUAGGUGUCCCGAAUUGAUGUUGCAAUUACAUUUCUCUAAUUUUUAUGUGCGAGAAGUGUUAUAAUAUAAGUUAAGGAUAAGACUUCAGGUCUAUCCCUACUUUGAUAUCUAGAUGCUCUUAAUUUAUAAAAAAAAAAAAAAAA
rnacentral:lncRNA from 1 species